GACGAACGCUGGCGGCGUGCUUAACACAUGCAAGUCGAACGGUAAGGCCCUUCGGGGUACACGAGUGGCUAACGGGUGAGUAACACGUGGGUAAUCUGCCCUGCACAUCGUGAUAAGCCUGGGAAACUGGGUCUAAUACCGAAUAGGACCACAGGACACAUGUCCUGUUGUGGAAAGCUUUUGCGGUGUGGGUUGGGCCCGCGGCCUAUCAGCUUGUUGGUGGGGUGAUGGCCUACCAAGGCGACGACGGGUAGCCGGCCUGAGAGGGUGUCCGGCCACACUGGGACUGACAUAAGGCCCAGACUACUACGGGAGGCAGCAGUGGGGAAUAUUGCACAAUGGGCGAAAGAGUGAUGCAGCGACGCCGCGUGGGGGAUGACGGCCUUAGGGUUGUAAAACUAUUUAACAAUCGACGAAGGUCCGGGUUUUCUCGGGCUGACGGUAGGUGGAGAAGAAGCACCGGCCAACUACGUG
rnacentral:rRNA from 1 species